rnacentral:lncRNA from 1 species
GGGUCUGUUUAGCACUUCUUCAAAAUGAUCUUUCCAUCGUUUUAAUUGCUCUUCAAUUUUUGUUAUCACAUUGCCAUUUUUAUCUUUAACUGUAGCAUUUGAGUUCGAUCUUCUUCCACUUAGUUGUUUAGUUGUGUUGUAGAGAGAUUUUAUGUCUCCUUUGCUACAUGCAAUUUCUGCUUCUUGUGCUAGUUGUUCAACAUAGUUUCU